GAUGAACGCUGGCGGCGUGCCUAAUACAUGCAAGUCGAGCGAACAGACGAGGAGCUUGCUCCUCUGACAUUAGCGGCGGACGGGUGAGUAACACGUGGAUAACCUACCUAUAAGACUGGGAUAACUUCGGGAAACCGGAGCUAAUACCGGAUAAUAUAUUGAACCGCAUGGUUCAAUAGUGAAAGACGGUUUUGCUGUAACUUAUAGAUGGAUCCGCGCCGCAUUAGCUAGUUGGUAAGGUAACGGCUUACCAAGGCAACGAUGCGUAGCCGACCUGAGAGGGUGAUCGGCCACACUGGAACUGAGACACGGUCCAGACUCCUACGGGAGGCAGCAGUAGGGAAUCUUCCGCCAUGGGCGAAAGCCUGACGGAGCAACGCCGCGUGAGUGAUGAAGGUCUUCGGAUCGUAAAACUCUGUUAUUAGGGAAGAACAAAUGUGUAAGUAACUAUGCACGUCUUGACGGUACCUAAUCAGAAAGCCACGGCUAACUACGUG
rnacentral:rRNA from 1 species